UACGUAGGGCGCAAGCGUUGUCCGGAAUUAUUGGGCGUAAAGAGCUCGUAGGCGGUCUGUCGCGUCGGCUGUGAAAACUCGGGGCUCAACCCCGAGCCUGCAGUCGAUACGGGCAGACUAGAGUGCUGUAGGGGAGACUGGAAUUCCUGGUGUAGCGGUGAAAUGCGCAGAUAUCAGGAGGAACACCGGUGGCGAAGGCGGUCUCUGGGCCUUACCUGACGCUGAGGAGCGAAAGCGUGGGGAGCGAACAGG
rnacentral:rRNA from 1 species